rnacentral:rRNA from 8 species
CAAAACGACUCUCGGCAACGGAUAUCUCGGCUCUCGCAUCGAUGAAGAACGUAGCGAAAUGCGAUACUUGGUGUGAAUUGCAGAAUCCCGUGAACCAUCGAGUCUUUGAACGCAAGUUGCGCCCGAAGCCAUCAGGCCGAGGGCACGCCUGCCUGGGCGUCAC